rnacentral:rRNA from 1 species
CAGCAGCCGCGGGAAUACGAAGGGGGCUAGCGUUGUUCGGAAUUACUGGGCGUAAAGCGCACGUAGGCGGAUAUUUAAGUCAGGGGUGAAAUCCCAGAGCUCAACUCUGGAACUGCCUUUGAUACUGGGUAUCUUGAGUAUGGAAGAGGUUAGUGGAAUUGCGAGUGUAGAGGUGAAAUUCGUAGAUAUUCGCAGGAACACCAGUGGCGAAGGCGGCUAACUGGUCCAUAACUGACGCUGAGGUGCGAAAGCGUGGGGAGCAAACAGGAUUAGAUACCCCCGUAGUCCCUGUCUCUUAUAC